rnacentral:piRNA from 1 species
UGGCAGCCACGGUGAUCAUUUCGGCC